rnacentral:piRNA from 1 species
UGUCCUCUCUUUCUGUAUCUCCAGGGCCUU